GACCGUUCCGUUGGCCUGGUGGUUAGAGCGUCGGCCUUGGAUGCAGAAGGUCGUGGGUUCGAUCCCGUGCCGAGUCA